UGUCUGACGACCAUAGCAGAGUGGAACCACCCCUUCCCAUCCCGAACAGGACGGUGAAACGCUCCCGCGCCAAUGAUAGUAGGCACCUCGCCUGUGAAAGUAGGUCAUCGUCAGACCU
rnacentral:rRNA from 1 species